UCCGGCUUAACACCGGCAGUCCCUCUAGAGUGCCCGGCAUAACCCGCUGGCAAUUAGAGGCAAGGGUUGCGCUCGUUGCGGGACUUAACCCAACAUCUCACGACACGAGCUGACGACAGCCAUGCAGCACCUGUGUUCCGGUUCCCUUUCAGGCACACCCGCCUCUCAGCAGGCUUCCAGACAUGUCAAGGGUAGGUAAGGUUGUUCGCGUUGCAUCGAAUUAAUCCACAUCAUCCACCGCUUGUGCGGGUCCCCGUCAAUUCCUUUGAGUUUUAACCUUGCGGCCGUACUCCCCAGGCGGUCAACUUCACGCGUUAGCUACGGUACCCAGGAAUCGCUUCCCCGACAACCAGUUGACAUAGUUUAGGGCGUGGACUAC
rnacentral:misc_RNA from 1 species